rnacentral:lncRNA from 1 species
UCCUAUAGUAUGACGCAUAAUUUCAAAUUUGCCAUUUCGUGAAGGUAAUAGGCAUCGGGUGUGUGCUUAACCGAAUUUGUAAUAUGUUACUGCCUCGGUUUUUUUAUAAUCGAGGUAAUCUCCUUUAUUUACUAGCCAAAACACAAUAAGUUUCAUUUAUUGUUCCCAUUUUCCCUCUCGCAACAGAGGCUCUCCUUUAUCACUUUCACAGGUUUCAUUUAUUGUUCCCUUUUUUCCCUCUCGCAGUAGCUGAGCCUCCUCCCUUCUAACUUUCACUCUCUCCAGCCCCGCCGUCUAGCACCGCUGUUGUCUCCGCCUAUCGUCGACGUUGCCGCCACCGGUUGUUCUUGGUGCCACCGUUUCUGCUCUCUGUCGUUGCAGGUCUGGCAUAGUCAAGGUGCCCACAAACUACCUUUAUCUUCCAUUUCGUGCCUUCUCUUUGUCUCUCCAAGGAUUGCCGCCACCACAGUUGUUCUCUCCAAAGGAUGCCUCCACCACCGUCGCUGCCAGAAUUCCUUCACUUUGUGGGUGUCGCCUUCGUCGCUUCCAGUCCGCUGUGAUUCGUUCACUUUUUGGGUGUCGCCUUCGUCCCUGCAGUUGUCAUCGUCGUCGCCCCCUCUGCCAUCGUUGCCCCGUUGUCGUCGUUUCCCCCGCUGUUGUCAUCUCCCUCGUUGCUGUCAUCGCCCCCUCAGUGAAGAAAUGUUUGAGAUCUUUCCCUAGGGGUAAAAAUUAAAGCUUUUUAAAAAUCAAAUUUUGCCCUAAUUCUGAACCAGGUUGAACAUCUAAGAUCUUUGGUAAAAAUCAAAGCUUUUUAAAAAUCAAAUCUUGCCCUGAUUCUGAACCUGGAUGAAUAUCUGAGAUCUUUGGUAAAAAUCGAAGCUUUUUAAAAAUCAAAUCUUGCCCUGAUUCUGAACCACGAUGAAUAUCUGAGAUCUAUGGUAAAAAUCGAAGCUUUUUAAAAAUCAAAUCUUGCCCUGAUUCUGAACCAAGAUGAAUAUCUGAGAUCUUUG